rnacentral:rRNA from 1 species
UACCCGCGACAGGACGGAAAGACCCCGUGGAGCUUUACUGUAGCCUGAUAUUGAAAUUCGGCACAGCUUGUACAGGAUAGGUAGGAGCCUUUGAAACGUGAGCGCUAGCUUACGUGGAGGCGCUGGUGGGAUACUACCCUAGCUGUGUUGGCUUUCUAACCCGCACCACUUAUCGUGGUGGGAGACAGUGUCAGGCGGGCAGUUUGACUGGGGCGGUCGCCUCCUAAAAGGUAACGGAGGCGCUCAAAGGUUCCCUCAGAAUGGUUGGAAAUCAUUCAUAGAGUGUAAAGGCAUAAGGGAGCUUGACUGCGAGACCUACAAGUCGAGCAG